AGUCCCUUGGGGUAGUGGUAAUCCUGUGAGGCUCUGGACCUUUCGACGGCGGUUCGACUCCGCCAGGGACUA
rfam:Methanobacterium sp. A39 contig_36, whole genome shotgun sequence.